rnacentral:rRNA from 1 species
CCCUAGUAGCGGCGAGCGAAGCGGGAAGAGCUCAAAUUUAUAAUCUGGCACCUUCGGUGUCCGAGUUGUAAUCUCUAGAAAUGUUUUCCGCGUUGGACCGCACACAAGUCUGUUGGAAUACAGCGGCAUAGUGGUGAGACCCCCGUAUAUGGUGCGGACGCCCAGCGCUUUGUGAUACAUUUUCGAAGAGUCGAGUUGUUUGGGAAUGCAGCUCAAAUUGGGUGGUAAAUUCCAUCUAAAGCUAAAUAUUGGCGAGAGACCGAUAGCGAACAAGUACCGUGAGGGAAAGAUGAAAAGCACUUUGGAAAGAGAGUUAACAGUACGUGAAAUUGUUGGAAGGGAAACGCUUGAAGUCAGACUUGCUUGCCGAGCAAUCGGUUUGCAGGCCAGCAUCAGUUUUCCGGGAUGGAUAAUGGUAGAGAGAAGGUAGCAGUUUCGGCUGUGUUAUAGCUCUCUGCUGGAUACAUCUUGGGGGACUGAGGAACGCAGGGUGCCUUUGGCGGGGGUUUCGACCUCUU